GCCAAAAAUCUAGCCCCACCACAAAACUCCCCCAAAGAAACACCCAAUACUAAAAUAACCCUAACUAAAGCAUUACCAAACUUAAGUACCGGCGAUAGAAAAAGAAAACGGAGCCAUAGACAUAGUACCGCAAGGGAACAAUGAAAUAGAAAUGAAACAACUCAUAAAAGCACUAAAAAGCAGAGACUUACCCUCGUACCUUUUGCAUCAUGGUCUAGCAAGUCACAACAAGCAAAAAGAAUUCAAGUUUGGCCUCCCGAAACUAAGUGAGCUACUCCGAGGCAGCGAAAGAGCAAACCCGUCUCUGUGGCAAAAGAGUGGGAAGACCUCCGAGUAGGGGUGACAGACCUAACGAACUUAGUGAUAGCUGGUUGCUCAUGAAAAGAAUUUAAGUCCUGCCUUAUAAUUACUUAUAACACUUUUAAGUAAUAAAGUAAUUAUAAGAGUAAUUCAAUAGGGGUACAGCCCUAUUGAAGAAGGAAACAAUCUCCAUCUUUGGGUAAGGAUCAUACAACACAAGGGUCUUGCCAGAGUGGGCCUAAAAGCAGCCACCUCGCUAGAAAGCGUCACAGCUCAUGCAAAGCUUAACCAACAAUGUCGUUAAACCCUCCAAACCCGUAAGUACUACUGAGCCUCUCUAUAUCUACAUAGAACAGUUUAUGCUAGAACUAGUAACAUGAAAUUAUUCUCCUAAUGCAAGUGUAAAUCAGAUCGAAAGCCUCACUGAUAGUUAACGUACCAUAUGAAGGUAUUGUAGUAACCAAUCAAGAAAACCCUACAAACCCCGCCGUUAAUCUAACACAAGAGCAUAAAAGAAAGAUUAAAAGACAUAUAAGGAACUCGGCAAACAUGAACUUCGCCUGUUUACCAAAAACAUCGCCUCCUGCCCUACAUGUAUAGGAGGUCCAGCCUGCCCAGUGACGUAAAUGUUUAACGGCCGCGGUAUUCUGACCGUGCAAAGGUAGCGUAAUCACUUGUCUUUUAAAUAAAGACUAGUAUGAAUGGCACCACGAAAGUUCAACUGUCUCCUAUGUCUAAUCAGUGAAACUGAUCUCCCCGUGCAGAAACGGGGAUAUUAACAUAAGACGAGAAGACCCCAUGGAGCUUUAAACUUUAAGCACCCGCUUUACACCAAACCCCCUAUAGGCAUAAUAUGAAAUCAAGCGAACAUGACCCACUGUUUUCGGUUGGGGCGACCACGGAGAAAAGCAUAUCCUCCGAGACGAAAGGGUGUACCACCCUUAACCUAGAGCCACUACUCCAAGUAAUAGAACCUCUAACGCCAUGAUCCAAUUCUUUGAUCAACGAACCAAGUUACCCUGGGGAUAACAGCGCAAUCCAUUUUAAGAGUCCAUAUCGACAAAUGGGUUUACGACCUCGAUGUUGGAUCAAGGUGUCCUAGUGGUGCAGCCGCUACUAAGGGUUCGUUUGUUCAACGAUUAAAACCUUACGUGAUCUGAGUUCAGACCGGAGUAAUCCAGGUCAGUUUCUAUCUAUGCAGCAUCCCCCCUAGUACGAAAGGACCGGGGGAAUGGGGCCAAUACCUAGGCACGCCUCACUCCUAAGCUAAUGAAAUUAACUUAAUUAGUAUAGAAACUGCAACCUUUUUCCCCAAGAUAAGGGACU
rnacentral:rRNA from 1 species